GAUGAACGCUGGCGGCGUGCCUAAUACAUGCAAGUCGAACGCUGGAGAUCUAGCUUGCUAGAUCGAAGGAGUGGCGAACGGGUGAGUAAUACAUAAGCAACCUACCCACGAAGACUGGGAUAAUCUCUGGAAACGGGGACUAAUACCGGAUAGGUAAUCGGAAGGCAUCUUCUGGUUAUUAAAGGUUAAAAACACUGGUGGAUGGGCUUAUGGCGCAUUAGUUAGUUGGUGAGGUAACAGCCCACCAAGACGAUGAUGCGUAGCCGGCCUGAGAGGGUGAACGGCCACAUUGGGACUGAGACACGGCCCAGACUCCUACGGGAGGCAGCAGUAGGGAAUUUUCGGCAAUGGGGGCAACCCUGACCGAGCAACGCCGCGUGAGUGAAGACGGCCUUCGGGUUGUAAAGCUCUGUUGUAAGGGAAGAACGGUAGAUAGAGAAUAUCUAAGUGACGGUACCUUACCAGAAAGCCACGGCUAACUACGUG
rnacentral:rRNA from 1 species